rnacentral:lncRNA from 1 species
AAAAUUUAAAAUAAAUUCAUAAUACUUAACAAUCGUCAUAAAAUUUAAAAUAAAUCAAUAAUACUUAACAAUGUUCAUAAAACUAAAAACUAAUCUAUGAAUUUAUUGAAUCAUCUGAUAGAGAAGUACAAUCUGCAGUUGGAUUAUGCGGUGAAGAUCUUUUUUUGUUCUUCAAUGAUUUCAUCUGAUCUUUUAUUUGCUUUUCUAUCUGCACUCGCAUUUGCUCUUGCAUUUGCUCCAUGUCUUGUUUCAUUUUGACCCGGUUUUGCUCUAAUAUUUGUUCAACCUCCUCUAAAGAAAACAUAGUUUGAGAAGGUCCUCCAGGAUGAGCUGAUGUGCAUGAGAAAGAGGUGGUUGGAGUUCCAGAUUUUGCAAUAUCAGAAGAUCCAAAACCAUAAACCAUCCCUUUACUACUUCCAGAAAUUUCAAUCC